AGCACAGGGUUGGAGAGGAACUCCAGGCAUCUAUCUGCUCCAGGGGUCACCGAGGACUGAGAUAGUUCAGAAUGUGGAAGCUCACUGCUCCCCUUGGCUUCUUCGCCACCCCUUCCCCUCUCUAGCCCUGCUUCCAGUCUGUAGUUCACCUGCUUCUAAAACCACAACCUUCAUCGUGAACACAGAUCCAAGCUGAGAUACUCGAAAAUCACUCCUGAGACCCCAAGACAGGUGGAAGGACGUUGGACCCCAGGACCUAGGAUUGUGCAAUCAACGCCCCGCCCCACAGCAGACCCUCACUCCCAGUCCUUUGGCUCCCAGGACCCAUUUUUCUUCUCCAGGAAGCUCAUGGCCUCUAUCUUGCCGGGUCUCCUGGAGUUUCCUGGCUGGACAGGAUGUUCAGAUGAGAGGGGACCAAAAGCCUUUACAUACAACCAGCAUUGCAGAAGCCUCUGGAAUCUUCUCCUGCCACGUUCUUAGCCAUCAGAAGCAGCUAGGUCAUUUGUGAGCUGGGUUGAGACUAGGACAACAGGGGACCUGGGGACCGUUAAGAAGCGAGAACAUGUCUGCUUCUUUUAUGACCUUCAAUAUUAGUCACCAGGAAGUUGCUCCAUGAAGCCUACAACCUCGUAUCACUAACUCGGCUUGAAUUGAUUAAGGAAACUCGGAUGA
rnacentral:lncRNA from 1 species